UGAAUGGCUGCCUUCGCGAGGUUCGCUGGUCGGAGUUCGCCGCCGGUUGGUAUAGAUGCCGGAAAACGCCUCUCAGGCGGCUGAGGCUUGAGGGAAAGGGGGAAAAGGUGAUCAGGAAGAACGGGUACUUUUCUUCCAUUGACGUUACUUCAUCGACAUUGCUGCUUUUUUUUCCCUCUAUUUACGUCCUUUUUCUUCUGCUAUUCAUUUCCAUUUUAGUCCGUCUUGGGCCUCUUCUUCUUUUUCUUAAUCUUUCUUCCACAACUGCUUCUUCUACAACUACAACAGUAAUUACUUAACAUAAAAGAUGGUAAGCAACAACAAAAGGAAGACAGUUAAAUGAGAAGAAUCAUCAAAUAAAAAAAGAAGACAAAAACACAAAAGGGAGAACAAGGGAAACUAAAACUGAAGGUAUAAACAAACUAUGAUAGACAUUGAUAGUGGUAUAUCAAUGUCUAUCAGUGAUAUGAACAUUUUCUCAUAUAUGUUUGAUGGCUACUAUAAACAAACUACUAUUAGUGUCUAUAUAUGACAUUAAGUAUUUUUUUGUUGUCUAUCGUUCAUACCAC